AGGAAGAGUGGUGAGAUGCCAUAAUGGUUGCUGCAGUCUGAUUUUUUCCCUUUCGUCUUGAAGGUGGUGAUGAUGGAGGCAUCAUUGAAAUCCUGUGACAUCUCCUCCAUGGACCAUAUGUUGAGGAAGGGCUUGUAUUCCCACCUGGACUGUGAUGAGGCUAGAACCAGCUUCACUCUCAAGAGAUACUGAGGUGGAAGAUGGUGUCGGUAGUCGCAAGAUGACGAUCAGCACAUUCACUGAGCAAAAAGUCCAAGUCUGGAGGACAAGGAGGGAACAGCCCUGAGUCAGAAACAGGACCAAGCAGAAAAGAGAAGAAUGAAAGGAAUGUAACACAAGUUUGCUGGUCAGCAAUUGGAAUGGAGAGAGAAGAAAAGAUGCCACAGUCUCACACCAAAACAUACACACACACACCCCCGCAGACCAAGCGUCUUCAUGUCUGAACAACCAGCCGAUGAUUUCAGAGACAGCAAACUCCCUGAAAGGACGCACCAUUUCUUUCUACGAUCCCAUAGUGCCCAAGAGUGCCAGGUAACCAUGGAGGCUUAAUCAAGAUUUUGAAGACAAUGACAGUGGUAAUGAUGAGGGAUGAGACAUAAGGACCAGUAAAAGUGUUCA